GGAUGUGAGGGUGAUCUGGCGAUGACACCUGUCACCCCAUUAAUCACCAGGGUUGAUUCAGCUGAUCUGGCUGGCUAGGCGGUGUCCCCUUCCUCCCUCACCGCUCCAUGUGCGUCCCUCCAAAAGCUGCGUGCUUGGUCAAAGAGGACAGCCUUCCCCUAAUAGAGACAGAUCGGUCUUCAGUCAAGGAUAUACGAGUAGCUGUGCUCCCCUGCUAGAACUCCAAACAAGCUCACUAUUGCUGACGCAGACAUUUCUCUUUCUCCCUCCCUUCCUAUAU
rnacentral:snRNA from 1 species